rnacentral:lncRNA from 1 species
GUUUUGUGGUUCUAUCAAUGAGAAAUACACACAGUAUUGUGUAAAGCACGAAUGUCCUAUUUGUUACAAAUGUAUCAAAGAACAUGGUAACUGCGACGGAGUGACAGUUCUUGAAGAUCUAACACUAGACGUAAAAACAUCAGAGGUGUUCCGAGAUAUGGAACAAAGACUAAAGGAUAUAAUGAUUAAAAUCAGUCGAAUUCGAAAAGACAGGGAGUCCAAUGUUAAAAUAAUUAGGGAUACAAAAGAACUGAUCAUCACAGAUGUCACUCGCUUGAAGCAAAAGAUUAACAGCCAC